ensembl:lncRNA
UUGGGAAGUGGGAACACUAACACUACUUACUUUCUAAAGUAACUGGGAGGGUUAAGUGUAGUUGUCUGCAGAAAGCAGUCCAGGCGUGCCCGGGAUUCAGUAAGUGUUCUGCAAGCAUCUCCCGCGAUGGUUAUUAUGGCUUUUACCACGAUUCCGAGACACACCCUUGUGGUGUGGAAUCACACCCGCCUCUGAAGUGUGCCCCGUUGCGUUGUGGCCGAUGGGGGUGGAACACAUCAGCGCCGCUGCCGUUUUGGCUAAAACACUCCCCGUGAGACGACACCGCUGGGGCUGGAGGCGCCAACACCCAGCGAUGCUGCAACUCUGCGAUGAUGCCCCCCUCCCACCCCCAGCGCCCAGCCCGCCCCACUGCGUGCUGUGCCCAGGACGGAGUCUCGUGCACGCCGCUAGCCCCGUCCAGACACUCACAGGCCGGCCGGCAGGUACACACCUGCCUGCUUUCCUAGGGAGGGGGGUGUGUACCCGAACACACUGCAGGAGCAGGAUGUGAAGUGUCGCUGAGAAGCCAGGGUACGAAACAGAGUGCUCUGUGCCUGUGUGGCUGCCGCUGUCCCACAGGCCAUCCUGGGGGUACGUCGUAUCUCUAACAUUUGUCAAGCAGCCUGGAAACGGGUUUGAGCCAUCACUGUGUGCAUUUAAGCUGAUUUCAUUCUAGGCGCUUCAUCACAGCAGCUGAUGACCUCAUUUUAAAGAAAGCUUUCCUCUGAGGAGCUUAAGACAUCUUAUAUCCAUUAAGAAUCUCCUCCUGCACCACGCCCCAGAACGCUGUUUGCGCACGCCUGUUUUCGCCUGUGCCCUUCAUUACGGCAGACAGAAAUAGCAGGGAAUUAAAAUGCACGUACAUCCUUGGGGUGGGGAGCCUUGGUUUCCUCCUCCAUCAAACUGUUACCUGGCAGCCAAGUCAGAUUUAAGCUUCCUUACCCUCCACCACCUUUCCACCUGCGAUGGAGGAGGUUAAAGCAAGCAGUGGUUACAUCCAGGAGGAAGAGGUGGAUGGAAAUUAGAGAGACCCUUCCCCCGCCCCCCCGGCCCCCCGCCUGGGUGAGAAGGAAGCCUGGUGCAUCUCAGAAAGUCUCUCCAGUCUCCCUGGCUUUCACUGUCACUUGCAACGUUCAGAAAAUGGAGAUCCAACCACAUGCCUCUGUUUUAUGGUGAGAAAUUACACACACGAGGGCAAGGAAAUAGGAGAUCGGAGGCUCCCACACACCAAGAAUGGUAUAUGUGAACUGGACAUCCCUCAUGGACCAGGACAAUGGAAAGAAAUCUCACAGUUCAGAUGACCUGACAGUGGAAAAGCUGCGAAGGCAUUACUGAAUAAUUCAGAGUAUGGGAGAGGCGGAGGGCGCCCAUCCAAAAUGCUCUCCGCUCCCUCGGAGUUUCUCAGCUGCUCUUUCCCUAAGCAGAAAGGAAAGCUCUUUGAAAGACAAUUAUCUGCUUAGAAAACAUUCAUUUAAAAUGUCUUGCAAUUAUUGACACUCUCAUUAGAUGCUGGCAGACGUACAGUAUCCCUGCCUCCCCUGUGCGCCUGCCACAAGAAGAGUCUCAUCGGUUAGGAGGCAAAAUGGAAUGAAAGUCCAAGGACACGGUGCUUGAACUGCUGCUGUUGUGAAGCUGAUUGCCCCAGGAUUCAGGAAGCCGGGGUCUGUAUUGUUACCCACCUGGCAGCCUGCAUCACUUCUCUCUCUCCCUCCCUCUCUCUCUCUCUCUCUCAGACACUUGAGCUCAGCUGGGCAGUCAUCCAAAUGAGUCACAUUAAAUUCUAGCUAUAUUCAGCACAAAAGUCAUCCAACAUCAGAGGAUCGAAGUUACAUCAACUAAGAAGCACUGGGGAAUUGGUAAGCAGCUAAAAUUAGGUCAUUGCCUAGCCGCGGCUUUUGAUGGAUGAAGUGAAAUUUCGCAGCAGGUUUGCUAUUUAAAGAUCUGUUACAGCAUCCUUUCCUGCAGCCACAAUGAGCACACAACGAAGUAUCAGGCCUCUGAUGAAAUGUUGAAUCAUCACUGCUCGCCCCGCUGUCUGGGGCAGAGAUUUACAAGUUCCUUAAGAGCACGUUCAGUCUCAGGCUGGGCCGCGUAAAUAAAUGCAUUUUAAUUUCCACAUUCAGAGCCCUAAGGGAGGCUCUUUCUUCCUCCUUGGGGUAAAUUCUGUAAAGUUAUUUUAAUCCCUGUGGAAGGAAGGAAGGAAGGAAGGAAGGAAAGGAGGAAGGGAGGGAGGGAGGAUGAAAGGAAAGAAGGAAGGGAGGAAGGAAGCGCAAGAUGGAGUCACUUGUGCUAAGCCACAUGGCAGCAAACUGAGACUUAACACCUAACUUAAAUGCAGUUUCAGCUUCUCCCAGGAAUGUAACCUUUAACCACUCAAUCCAGUAUUCCCUGGUCUGUAGAUUCCUUGUUUUAGUGUCUUUGUUUGACUUGGCAGGAAAAUAAUGGAAGCCUCA